rnacentral:lncRNA from 1 species
AACCCUGAUCUGUUCACCGGACGUGCUACCUUUUCCUGGACCUGCGGUUUCUUCCUCUCUCUCGGUUUCUUCCUGUCUCUCGGUUUCUUCCUCUCUCUGUUUCCUCCUCUCUCUCGGUUUCUUUCUCUCUCUCGGUUUCUUCCUCUCUCUCGGUUUUCGUCCUCUCUCUUGGUUUUCCUCCUCUCUCAGUUUCUUCCUCUCUCUCGGUUUUCCUCCUCUCUCAGUUUCUUCCUCUCUCUCUGUUUCCUCCUCUCUCUCAGUUUCCUCCUCUCCCGGUUUCCUCCUCUCUCUCAGUUUCUUCCUCUGUCUCGGUUUCCCCCUCUCUCUCGGUUUCUUCCUCUCUCUCGGUUUCCUCCUCUCUCUCGGUUUCCUCCUCUCUCUCGGUUUCUUCCUCUCUCUCGGUUUUCGUCCUCUCUCUUGGUUUUCCUCCUCUCUCAGUUUCCUCCUCUCUCCCGGUUUCCUCCUCUCUCUCAGUUUCUUCCUCUGUCUCGGUUUCCCCCUCUCUCUCGGUUUCUUCCUCUCUCUCGGUUUCCUCCUCUCUCUCGGUUUCCUCCUCUCUCUCGGUUUCUUCCUCUCUCUCGGUUUCCUCCUCUCACUCGGUUUCCUCCUCUCUUAGUUUCUUCCUCUCUCCCGGUUUCCUCCUCUCUCAGUUUCCUCCUCUCUCCCGGUUUCCUCCUCUCUCUCGGUUUCCUCCUCUCUCCCGGUUUCUUCCUCUCUCUCGGUUUCUUCCUCUCUCUCGGUUUCCUCCUCUCUCUCGGUUUCCUCCUCUCUCGGUUUCUUCCUCUCUCUCGGUUUCCUCCUCUCUCUCGGUUUCCUCCUCUCACUCUGUUUCUUCUUCUCUCUCUGUUCCCUCCUCUCUCUCGGUUUCCUCCUCUCUCUCUCUCUCUCCCGGUUUCUUCCUCUCUCUCGGUUUCCUCCUCUUUCUCGGUUUCUUCCUCUCUCUUGGUUUCCUCCUCUCUCCCGGUUUCCUCCUCUCUCCCGGUUUCUGCCUCUCUCCCGGUUUCUGCCUCUCUCUCGGUUUCUUCCUCUCUCAGUUUCUUCCUCUCUCUCGGUUUCCUCUUCUGUUUCUUCCUCUCUCUCGGUUUCCUCCUCUCACUCGGUUUCCUCCUCUCUCUCUGUUUCCUCCUCUCUCUCUGUUUCUUCCUCUCUCUCGGUUUCUUCCUCUCUCUCGGUUUCCUCCUCUCUCAGUUUCUUCCUCACUCUCGGUUUCCUCCUCUCUCUCGGUUUCUUCCUCUCUCUCGGUUUCCUCCUCUCUCUCGGUUUCCUCCUCUCUCUCGGUUUCUUCCUCUCUCUCGGUUUCCUCCUCUCUUCCGGUUUCUUCCUCUCGCUCAGUUUCCUCCUCUCUCCCGGUUUCUUCCUGUCUAUCGGUUUCUUCCUCUCUCUCAGUUUCUUCCUCUCUCUCGGUUUCCUCCUCUCUCAGUUUCUUCCUCUCUCUCGGCUUCCUCCUCUCUGUUACUUCCUCUCUCCCGGUUUCCUCCUCUCUCUCAGCUUCUUCCUCUGUCUCGGUUUCCCCCUCUCUCUCGGUUUCUUCCUCUCUCUCGGUUUCUUCCUCUCUCCCGGUUUCCUCCUCUCUCUCAGUUUCUUCCUCUGUCUCGGUUUCCCCCUCUCUCUCGGUUUCUUCCUAUCUCUCGGUUGCCUCCUCUCUCUCGGUUUCCUCCUCUCACUCUGUUUCUUCCUCUCUCCCGGUUUCUUCCUCUCUCUCGGUUUCCUCCUCUCUCCCGGUUUCUUCCUCUCUCUCGGUUUCCUCCUCUUUCUCGGUUUCUUCCUCUCUCUUGGUUUCCUCCUCUCUCCCGGUUUCCUCCUCUCUCCCGGUUUCUGCCUCUCUCUCGGUUUCUUCCACUCUCAGUUUCUUCCUCUCUCUCGGUUUCCUCCUCUGUUUCUUCCUCUCUCUCGGUUUCCUCCUCUCACUCGGUUUCCUCCUCUCUCUCUGUUUCCUCCUCUCUCUCUGUUUCUUCCUCUCUCUCGGUUUCUUCCCCUCUCUCGGUUUCCUCCUCUCUCAGUUUCUUCCUCACUCUCGGUUUCCUCCUCUCUCUGGGUUUCCUCCUCUCUCUCGGUUUCUUCCUCUCUCUCGGUUUCCUCCUCUCUCUCGGUUUCCUCCUCUCUCUCGGUUUCCUCCUCUCUCUCGGUUUCUUCCUCUCUCUCUGUUUCCUCCUCUCUCUCGGUUUCUUCCUCUCUCUCGGUUUCCUCCUCUCUUCUGUUUUCUUCCUCUCUCGGUUUCCUCCUCUCUCUGUUUCUUCCUCUCUCUCGGUUUCUUCCUCUCUCUUGGUUUCCUCCUCUCUCUGUUUCUUCCUCUCUCUCGGUUUCCUCCUCUCUCUCGGUUUCCUCCUCUCUCUCGGUUUCCUCCUCUCUCUCGGUUUCUUCCUCUCUCUCGGUUUCCUCCUCUCUCUCGGUUUCCUCCUCUCUCUCGGUUUCUUCGUCCUCUCUCUCGGUUUUCUCCUCUCUCUCGGUUUCCUCCUCUCUCAGUUUCUUCUCUCUCGGUUUCCUCCUCUCUCUCGGUUUCCUCCUCUCUUAGUUUCUUCCUCUCUCUCGGUUUCCUCCUCUCUCAGUUUCUUCCUCUGUCUCGGUUUCCCCCUCUCUCUCGGUUUCUUCCUCUCUCUCGGUUUCCUCCUCUGUCCGUUUCCUCCUCUCACUCUGUUUCUUCCUCUCUCUCUGUUUCUUCCUCUCUCUCGGUUUCCUCCUCUCUCGGUUUCCUCCUCUCUCUCGGUUGCCUCCUCUCUCUCGGUUUCCUCCUCUCUCAGUUUCUUCUUCUCUCUCGGUUUCCUCCUCUCUCUCGGUUUCCUCCUCUAUCUCGGGUUUCUCCUCUCUCUCGGUUUCCUCCUCUCUCAGUUUCUUCUCUCUCGGUUUCCUCCUCUCUCUCAGUUUCCUCCUCUCUGUUUCCUCCUCUCUCUCGGUUUCCUCCUCUCUCAGUUUCUUCCUCUCUCUCGGUUUCCCCCUCUCUCUCGGUUUCCCCCUCUCUCUCGGUUUUCUCCUCUCUCUCGGUUUCCCCCUCUCUCUCGGUUUCUGCCUCUCUCUCGGUUUCUUCCUCUCUCAGUUUCUUCCUCUCUCUCGGUUUCCUCCUCUGUUUCUUCCUCUCUCUCGGUUUCCUCCUCUCACUCUGUUUCCUCCUCUCUCUCUGUUUCCUCCUCUCUCUCUGUUUCUUCCUCUCUCUCGGUUUCCUCCUCUCUCAGUUUCUUCCUCACUCUCGGUUUCCUCCUCUCUCUCGGUUUCUUCCUCUCUCUCGGUUUCCUCCUCUGUUUCUUCCUCUCUCUCGGUUUCCUCCUCUCUCUCGGUUUCUUCCUCUCUCUCGGUUUCCUCCUCUCUUCCGGUUUCUUCCUCUUUCUCAGUUUCCUCCUCUCUCCCGGUUUCUUCCUCUCUCUCGGUUUCUUCCUCUUUCUCAGUUUCCUCCUCUCUCAGUUUCUUCCUCUCUCUCGGCUUCCUCCUCUCUGUUACUUCCUCUCUCCCGGUUUCCUCCUCUCUCUCAGUUUCUUCCUCUGUCUCGGUUUCCCCCUCUCUCUCGGUUUCUUCCUCUCUCUCGGUUUCUUCCUCUCUCCCGGUUUCCUCCUCUCCCUCAGUUUCUUCCUCUGUCUCGGUUUCCCCCUCUCUCUCGGUUUCCUCCUCUCUCUGUUUCUUCCUCUCUCUCGGUUUCCUCCUCUCUCUCGGUUUCCUCCUCUCUCUCGGUUUCUUCCUCUCUCUCGGUUUCCUCCUCUCUUCCGGUUUCUUCCUCUCGCUCAGUUUCCUCCUCUCUCCCGGUUUCUUCCUGUCUAUCGGUUUCUUCCUCUCUCUCAGUUUCUUCCUCUCUCUCGGUUUCCUCCUCUCUCAGUUUCUUCCUCUCUCUCGGCUUCCUCCUCUCGGUUUCUUCCUCUCUCCCGGUUUCCUCCUCUCCCUCAGUUUCUUCCUCUGUCUCGGUUUCCCCCUCUCUCUCGGUUUCCUCCUCUCUCUGUUUCUUCCUCUCUCUCGGUUUCCUCCUCUCUCUCGGUUUCCUCCUCUCUCUCGGUUUCUUCCUCUCUCUCGGUUUCCUCCUCUCUUCCGGUUUCUUCCUCUCGCUCAGUUUCCUCCUCUGUCUCGGUUUCCCCCUCUCUCUCGGUUUCUUCCUCUCUCUCGGUUUCUUCCUCUCUCCCGGUUUCCUCCUCUCUCUCAGUUUCUUCCUCUGUCUCGGUUUCCCCCUCUCUCUCGGUUUCUUCCUCUCUCUCGGUUGCCUCCUCUCUCUCGGUUUCCUCCUCUCACUCUGUUUCUUCCUCUCUCCCGGUUUCUUCCUCUCUCUCGGUUUCCUCCUCUCUCCCGGUUUCUUCCUCUCUCUCGGUUUCCUCCUCUUUCUCGGUUUCUUCCUCUCUCUUGGUUUCCUCCUCUCUCCCGGUUUCCUCCUCUCUCCCGGUUUCUGCCUCUCUCUCGGUUUCUUCCUCUCUCAGUUUCUUCCUCUCUCUCGGUUUCCUCCUCUGUUUCUUCCUCUCUCUCGGUUUCCUCCUCUCACUCGGUUUCCUCCUCUCUCUCUGUUGCCUCCUCUCUCUCUGUUUCUUCCUCUCUCUCGGUUUCUUCCUCUCUCUCGGUUUCCUCCUCUCUCAGUUUCUUCCUCACUCUCGGUUUCCUCCUCUCUCUGGGUUUCCUCCUCUCUCUCGGUUUCUUCCUCUCUCUCGGUUUCCUCCUCUCUCUCGGUUUCCUCCUCUCUCCCGGUUUCCUCCUCUCUCUCGGUUUCUUCCUCUCUCUCUGUUUCCUCCUCUCUCUCGGUUUCUUCCUCUCUCUCGGUUUCUUCCUCUCUCUCGGUUUCCUCCUCUCUUCUGUUUUCUUCCUCUCUCGGUUUCCUCCUCUCUCUGUUUCUUCCUCUCUCUCGGUUUCUUCCUCUCUCUCGGUUUCCUCCUCUCUCUGUUUCUUCCUCUCUCUCGGUUUCCUCCUCUCUCUCGGUUUCCUCCUCUCUCUCGGUUUCCUCCUCUCUCUCGGUUUCUUCCUCUCUCUCGGUUUCCUCCUCUCUCUCGGUUUCCUCCUCUCUCUCGGUUUCUUCGUCCUCUCUCUCGGUUUUCUCCUCUCUCUCGGUUUCCUCCUCUCUCAGUUUCUUCUCUCUCGGUUUCCUCCUCUCUCUCGGUUUCCUCCUCUCUUAGUUUCUUCCUCUCUCUCGGUUUCCUCCUCUCUCAGUUUCUUCCUCUGUCUCGGUUUCCCCCCCUCUCUCGGUUUCUUCCUCUCUCUCGGUUUCCUCCUCUGUCCGUUUCCUCCUCUCACUCUGUUUCUUCCUCUCUCUCUGUUUCUUCCUCUCUCUCGGUUUCCUCCUCUCUCGGUUUCCUCCUCUCUCUCGGUUGCCUCCUCUCUCUCGGUUUCCUCCUCUCUCAGUUUCUUCUUCUCUCUCGGUUUCCUCCUCUCUCUCGGUUUCCUCCUCUAUCUCGGGUUUCUCCUCUCUCUCGGUUUCCUCCUCUCUCAGUUUCUUCUCUCUCGGUUUCCUCCUCUCUCUCAGUUUCCUCCUCUCUGUUUCCUCCUCUCUCUCGGUUUCCUCCUCUCUCAGUUUCUUCCUCUCUCUCGGUUUCCCCCUCUCUCUCGGUUUCCCCCUCUCUCUCGGUUUUCUCCUCUCUCUCGGUUUCCCCCUCUCUCUCGGUUUCUGCCUCUCUCUCGGUUUCUUCCUCUCUCAGUUUCUUCCUCUCUCUCGGUUUCCUCCUCUGUUUCUUCCUCUCUCUCGGUUUCCUCCUCUCACUCGGUUUCCUCCUCUCUCUCUGUUUCCUCCUCUCUCUCUGUUUCUUCCUCUCUCUCGGUUUCCUCCUCUCUCAGUUUCUUCCUCACUCUCGGUUUCCUCCUCUCUCUCGGUUUCUUCCUCUCUCUCGGUUUCCUCCUCUGUUUCUUCCUCUCUCUCGGUUUCCUCCUCUCUCUCGGUUUCUUCCUCUCUCUCGGUUUCCUCCUCUCUUCCGGUUUCUUCCUCUUUCUCAGUUUCCUCCUCUCUCCCGGUUUCUUCCUCUCUCUCGGUUUCUUCCUCUUUCUCAGUUUCCUCCUCUCUCAGUUUCUUCCUCUCUCUCGGCUUCCUCCUCUCUGUUACUUCCUCUCUCCCGGUUUCCUCCUCUCUCUCAGUUUCUUCCUCUGUCUCGGUUUCCCCCUCUCUCUCGGUUUCUUCCUCUCUCUCGGUUUCUUCCUCUCUCCCGGUUUCCUCCUCUCCCUCAGUUUCUUCCUCUCUCUCGGUUUCUUCCUCUCUCUCGGUUUCCUCCUCUCUCUCGGUUUCCUCCUCUCACUCUGUUUCUUCCUCUCUCCCGGUUUCUUCCUCUCUCUCGGUUUCCUCCUCUCCCGGUUUCUUCCUCUCUCUCGGUUUCCUCCUCUUUCUCUGUUACUUCCUCUCUCUCGGUUUCCUCCUCUCUCUCGGUUUCCUCCUCUCUCUCUGUUUCUUCCUCUCUCUCGGUUUCUUCCUCUCUCUCGGUUUCCUCCUCUCUCUGUUUCUUCCUCUCUCGGUUUCCUCCUCUCUCUCGGUUUCCUCCUCUCUCUCGGUUUCCUCCUCUCUCUCUGUUUCUUCCUCUCUCUCGGUUUCCUCCUCUCUCUCGAUUUCCUCCUCUCUCUCGGUUUCUUCCUCCUCUCUCUCGGUUUUCUCCUCUCUCUCGGUUUCCUCCUCUCUCAGUUUCUUCUCUCUCGGUUUCCUCCUCUCUCUCGGUUUCCUCCUCUCUUAGUUUCUUCCUCUCUCUCUGUUUCCUCCUCUCUCAGUUUCUUCCUCUGUCUCGGUUUCCCCCUCUCUCUCGGUUUCUUCCUCUCUCUCGGUUUCCUCCUCUAUCUCGGUUUCCUCCUCUCUCGGUUUCCUCCUCUCUCUCGGUUGCCUCCUCUCUCUCGGUUUCCUCCUCUCUCAGUUUCUUCUUCUCUCUCGGUUUCCUCCUCUCUCUCUGUUUCUUCCUCUCUCUCGGUUUCCUCCUCUCUCUCGAUUUCCUCCUCUCUCUCGGUUUCUUCCUCCUCUCUCUCGGUUUUCUCCUCUCUCUCGGUUUCCUCCUCUCUCAGUUUCUUCUCUCUCGGUUUCCUCCUCUCUCUCGGUUUCCUCCUCUCUUAGUUUCUUCCUCUCUCUCUGUUUCCUCCUCUCUCAGUUUCUUCCUCUGUCUCGGUUUCCCCCUCUCUCUCGGUUUCUUCCUCUCUCUCGGUUUCCUCCUCUCUCUCGGUUUCCUCCUCUCUCGGUUUCCUCCUCUCUCUCGGUUGCCUCCUCUCUCUCGGUUUCCUCCUCUCUCAGUUUCUUCUUCUCUCUAG